rnacentral:rRNA from 1 species
AUCUACGGCUAUGUCACCCUAAACAACUUUGAUUCGAUCUGAUAUCGGAAGUUAAGCAGGAUCAAGCCUGGUUAGUACUUAGAUGGGAGACCACCUAGGAAGACCAGGUACUGUAGGAG